rnacentral:rRNA from 1 species
AAACAUUUCUAAAUGAAUUUAUAUUUAGUAAGGCCUGCUCACUGAAUCCUAAAUGGCCGCGGUCACCCGUGCUAAGGUAGCAUAAUCACUUGCCUUCUAAUUAGAGGCUAGAAUGAAAGGUCUAACAUGCCUAUCCUUUUAUUAAAUUACUUACUCUAAAUUCUCUUGUUAGUAAGAAGACUAACAUCCACCAGGGGGACGACAAGACCCUGUCGAACUUUUACUAUAUGUUUAGCUGGGGUGGCUACAAACAAAAUCUUUUACCUUAAUUUUCUAAACAACCCAUAAAAGGAAUCACUAAGUUACCGCAGGGAUAACAGCAUAAUUUAUUCUAAAAGACCUUAUUUAAGAAUAAGAUUGUGACCUCGAUGUUGAAUUAAUAUUCUUCUAGGGGCAAAAUUCUAGAAAGAAAGUCUGUUCGACUUUUAAAUAAUUACGUG